AGGGUGAGAGGUGAGCCAGGAGGGAUGAUGCGGGGAGCUGAUCACCGAGGGGGAGCACGGGUCGCUAGAAGAGGAGGAAUGAUCUGGAAAACGCGGGUCCAAGGUGGCGGCGGGGCCGCACGAGGGAAAGACAGAGGGGAGCAGAGGUCGAGAGCAGCCCGGGGCGACAUAACAGUACCCUGUCCCCCAAACACACAAGGCGGUGUGGCGGUGCACACCUGAGAUUCCAGCCGUUGGACGGCAGCCACAGCAGCAGCUCGUGGCCCAAGCCCAGCUCAGCCAAGUGGCGUGGUCGAGACCACCCCAGGCUACAAGCCCGUCUCAAGCACAGUGAAACCGAACAGUGCGGGUGUGACCGCUCCGAUCAUACAGCUGGUCCCCCAAACCCAAGCUCCAGGGAUCCAGCACCUACUUCUGGCCUUCGGGGUCAUCUUCACAUCUGCAUGCGUGUGCCCAUACAUAGACACACAUGAAUAGAAAUUAAAAAAUAAAUAUUACAAAGCCCA